UGGGGAAUAUUGCACAAUGGGCGCAAGCCUGAUGCAGCCAUGCCGCGUGUGUGAAGAAGGCCUUCGGGUUGUAAAGCACUUUCAGCGAGGAGGAAGGUGGUGAGCUUAAUACGCUCAUCAAUUGACGUUACUCGCAGAAGAAGCACCGGCUAACUCCGUGCCAGCAGCCGCGGUAAUACGGAGGGUGCAAGCGUUAAUCGGAAUUACUGGGCGUAAAGCGCACGCAGGCGGUUUGUUAAGUCAGAUGUGAAAUCCCCGGGCUCAACCUGGGAACUGCAUUUGAAACUGGCAAGCUAGAGUCUCGUAGAGGGGGGUAGAAUUCCAGGUGUAGCGGUGAAAUGCGUAGAGAUCUGGAGGAAUACCGGUGGCGAAGGCGGCCCCCUGGACGAAGACUGACGCUCAGGUGCGAAAGCGUGGGGAGCAAACAGAUUAGAUACCCUGGUAGUCCACGCUGUAAACGAUGUCGAUUUUGGAGGUUGUGCCCCUGAGGCGUGGNUUCCGGAGCUAACG
rnacentral:rRNA from 1 species